rnacentral:rRNA from 1 species
UACGUAGGGUGCAAGCGUUGUCCGGAGUUACUGGGUGUAAAGGGCGCGUCGGUGGGUUUGUAAGUCAGAGGUGAAAUCCUGCAGCUUAACUGUAGAACUGCCUCUGAUACUGCAAAUCUUGAGUUCGGAAGAGAGAAGCGGAAUUCCAGGUGUAGUAGUGAAAUACGUAGAUAUCUGGAAGAACACCAGUGGCGAAGGCGGCUUCUUGGUCUGUAACUGACACUGAGGCGCGAAAGCGUGGGGAGCAAACAGG